UGAGGCGAACGAACCCGGAACCGAGACAGAGAGGUGGCACAGGUGACGCUCAGGCCGGCGCCAUCUUGAGUGUGGGCGCCGUUGCCGGUCGGGACUUCGCUCUUUGCUCUCAGCGGCCUGGUUGGCCUGUGAAGAUCUUUCCUCUCUUGGCGUUUGAGCUGAGCUCGCGAGUUUGUCUUGAUUUUAAUUUUUAGGCCUUAGCCGUGCGGUUUUAAUUUGAUGCCCGCCCGAAUCCAAAAUGGCCGCCGUCGCCUCUAACAAACAGAAAAGGGGCUGGGAGCGGAAAAGAAGUAUGGAAAUUGCCCCGGACUUUUAGGAGAGUGACGUCACUCAGCCCCGCAGCCGUGAUUGGUUGCGUUGCGUGGGCGGAAGUCGUGAGGAACUGCUGCUGAAGCUGGCGGAGUUUGGACUCAUCAUAUUUUAAUGCUCAGUAGUCACCUGUGCGCAGUGAUCAGCGUAUUGGAGAACACAGCUCUGGGCAUUGUGACCACCACCUUGCGCUAGGAAGUUGAAAAGCAGAAGUGCAGUGCUCCAGAGGCAGGAUUCGUUUGUCUGCGUAGUCACCAUCUGGCAGCCAGAAAUCUUACAGACCAGUGGUAGAGCCAGCACCAUUAGGGAUGCAGCCUCCAAUGGCAUCAACAAAGGCUGAGGGCACCUUGAAUUUUUAGACCCUGUUCAUCCAGAUGUGGAGAGCAUUUUCUAAAAUAUUUUAAACAAUUCACCUAACUUGCAUCCUUUUGAGAUCCCAUUUCUAGUAUUCAUCAUGGUAAUUAAUAAGUUGUUACUUUUGCCAGUAAAUACUCACUUCUGACACUCGUUAUGAUAAUUAGCAAAACGUCCAGUGCCAUCAGAGAUCCAAUUGGCUAAAGUAUCUGUAGCUCCAUCCCUGGAAUGUGGCCUUUCUGGUAUGAUUCCAGCCAGCUACCUCUGGAGUGUGGCUUCCUGAUUACUAAGAACGCUGCGUCUAGGGCAUAGCUUCAGCCAAUUAACCCACGCAGAAUAUUCCACUGUCAAUGCUGAAAUAAUUUAAAGUCAGCAACAGACAUCAUGACAUGCAUGCUUUAAGGAAUAUUGGCAUCACUUUGUAAACUGUAAACACUAUACAAAUGUUGUACCACCUCAUGUUACACACUCAUAUUUAUUCCACAAAUGUUUGACAUUUUCUGUGUCCUGUACUAUGCUGUACAUGCUGUACUAUGCUGACUGCUAAGAAGGAAGAAGACACAAUCAUUGCAAAAAAGUGAGUUCAGGGAGCCCAAAGAAAACUUUUUUUUUCUUUUUAAA